UGUAGCUCAGUAAUAAAGCAUGUGCUUAGCAUGCACAAAGCCUUGGGUUCAAUCCCCAGCA
rnacentral:tRNA from 1 species